GACAGAGGGUGCAAACGUUGUUCGGAAUUACUGGGCGUAAAGCGCGUGUAGGCGGCCCUGUAAGUCGGGUGUGAAAGCCCCGGGCUCAACCUGGGAAUUGCAUUCGAGACUGCAUGGCUAGGGUGCGGAAGAGGGAAGCGGAAUUUCCGGUGUAGCGGUGAAAUGCGUAGAUAUCGGAAGGAACACCAGUGGCGAAAGCGGCUUCCUGGUCCAGCACCGACGUUCAGGCACGAAAGCGUGGGGAGCAAACAGG
rnacentral:rRNA from 1 species